UCUUUCCUUCUUCCACUCUUCUUUCCUUUCUUCACUCUCCUUUCCUUUCUUCACUCUCCGUUCCUUUCUUCUUUCCUUCUUUCACUCUUCUCUCUUUUCUUCUUUACUUCUUUCACUCUUCUCUCUUUUCUUUUUUCAUCUUCCACUCUUCUUUCCUUCUUUCACUCUUCUUUAUUUUCUUCUUACCUUCUUCCACUCUUCUUUCCUUAUUUCACUCUUCUUUCCUUUCUUCUUUCCUUUCUUCCUUCCUUCUUUCACACUUCUUUCUUUUUUUCUUCCUUUCUUAACUUUUGCAUUUCAUGCACUGGUAUUUCCUUCAGGAAAUGCAUUUUCUAGUUUUUCUCUCUAUCCCUCUCACUCUACUUUCUCUCACACUCCAUCUCUCUGCUUCACUCCAUUUUCUCUCCUUCUUUCAAUAUUUACAAUCUUUACUGUCUUUAUCCAGAGCCACUCUUGUUCACUCUUCUUUCCUUUCUUCUUUCUUUCUUCCACUCUUCUUUCCUUCUUCCACUCUUCUUUCCUUUCUUCUUCCACUCUUAUUUCCUUCUUUUACUCUUCUUUUCUUUCUUCUUUCCUUCUUCCACUCUUCUUUCCUUUCUUCUUUCCUUCUUUCACUCUUCUUUCCUUCUUCCACUCUUCUUUCCUUUCCUCUUUCCUUCUUCCACUCCUUUUUCCUUCUUCCACUCUUCUUUUCCUUCUUCUUUCCUUCUUCCACUCUUCUUUCUUUUCUUCUUUCCUUCUUUCACUCUUCUUUCUUUUCGUCUUCCUUUCUUAACUUUUGCAUUUCAUGCACUGGUAUUUCCUUCAGGAAAUGCAUUUUCUAGUUUCUUUUUCUUUUUAGUUUCUAUGUUUUGUUUCUAGCAGGGUUUAUCUCUCUGUGGGCCAACACCUCCAACAUGACAGCUUGAUCUUCAUGAGUGUUGAAGUAGUGUGGCAUAGUUGAGGUGUAUCCCCAUUAGUGACGUACCAUGGGUGUCUCUACGUGGUGAUGUGAAGGAGGGAGACCCGCUAAUUAGUUCACCUGGAUAUAGCCCCGUCAGGUAAGCUAUCUCUAGAGCUGCCUUUUGUCUUUUGUGUGUUCGAGUCCCUUGCCAUCGACAUCCAGCUGAGUGAUUUGUUUGUUGUGUUGGAGAUCCAAGCUUGCACAGAGUGCCGUGGCGUUUUAUCUUGGAGACGGGUUGAGUGACGUAGUGGAGAAACUGGGCAUCGUGUACGCCACUGUUUUUAUCCUGCAGUUUGUUUACUGUUUGUGUCCCGCAUAUUGUUUUGUACUGUUGGUGAGCUGACGUGUCUCUGAAUAGUGUAUUUAUGUAAAUUAAAGAUCGUAUGUUUUCUAUACUUAAACACCAAUCUUCGGCUAUCCGUUCAUAUCAACCUCACAGUAGGAACAUAACUACACAUCCUACAAGUACAUUAGAGUGGGAUUUACGCGUCAGGAGUCAGGCAAGCAGAGUGGGAGUGCAGUAACUCGU
ensembl:lncRNA